rnacentral:rRNA from 1 species
UACGUAGGCAGCAAGCGUUGUUCGGAAUUACUGGGCGUAAAGAGUGUGUAGGCGGUGUUCUAAGUUUGGUGUGAAAUCUCCCGGCUCAACUGGGAGGGUGCGCCGAAAACUGGAAUGCUAGAGUAUGGGAGAGGUAAGCGGAAUUCCUGGUGUAGCGGUGAAGUGCGUAGAUAUCAGGAGGAACACCUGUGGUGUAGACAGCUUACUGGACCAUCACUGACGCUGAGACACGAAAGCGUGGGUAGCAAACAGG